CUUCCUCCGUUUCACAAUGUAAGUCAUUCUAGCAUUUCCCAUAUUCAUAUUGAUGCUAAUGAAUCUAAUGUCUCUAGAUUCAUUAGCAUCAAUAUGAAUAUAGGAAAUGCUAGAAUGACUUACAUUGUGAAACGGAUGUA
rnacentral:misc_RNA from 1 species